GACGAACGCUGGCGGCGUGCUUAACACAUGCAAGUCGAACGAAGUGCUACCAAAUGAGAUUUCGGUCAAAUGAAGUAGUAUCUUAGUGGCGGACGGGUGAGUAACGCGUGAGUAACCUGCCUUUCAGAGUGGAAUAACAUUUGGAAACGAAUGGUAAUACCCGCAUAACAUUGUUGAAUCGCAUGAAUUAACAAGUCAAAGGAGCAAUCCCGCUGAAAGAUGGACUCGCGUCCGAUUAGCUAGAUGGCGAGGUAACGGCCACCAUGGCGACGAUCGGUAGCCGGACUGAGAGGUUGAACGGCCACAUUGGGACUGAGACACGGCCCAGACUCCUACGGGAGGCAGCAGUGGGGAAUAUUGCACGAAUGGGGGAAACCCUGAUGCAGCAACGCCGCGUG
rnacentral:rRNA from 1 species